rnacentral:rRNA from 1 species
AGCGAACGCUGGCGGCAGGCUUAACACAAGCAAGUCGAACGCCCCGCAAGGGGAGUGGCAGACGGGUGAGUAACACGUGGGAACGUACCCUUUGGUUCGGAAUAACUUGGGGAAACUCAAGCUAAUACCGGAUAAGCCCUUAUGGGGAAAGGUUUACUGCCGAAGGAUCGGCCCGCGUCUGAUUAGCUAGUUGGUGGGGUAAUGGCUCUCCAAGGCGACGAUCAGUAGCUGGUCUGAGAGGAUGAUCAGCCACACUGGGACUGAGACACGGCCCAGACUCCUACGGGAGGCAGCAGUGGGGAAUAUUGGACAAUGGGGGCAACCCUGAUCCAGCAAUGCCGCGUGAAUGAUGAAGGCCUUAGGGUUGUAAAGUUCUUUUAUUGAUGACGAUAAUGACGGUAGUCAAUGAAUAAGCACCGGCUAACUUCGUGCCAGCCGCCGCGGUAA